rnacentral:rRNA from 1 species
UACGUAGGGGGCUAGCGUUGUCCGGAAUCAUUGGGCGUAAAGCGCGCGUAGGCGGCCAGAUAAGUCCGGUGUGAAAGUCACAGGCUCAACCUGUGAAUGCCGCUGGAAACUGUCUGGCUAGAGUCCGGAAGGGGCGAGUGGAAUUCCUGGUGUAGCGGUGAAAUGCGCAGAUAUCAGGAGGAACACCCGUGGCGAAAGCGGCUCUCUGGAACGGUACUGACGCUGAGACGCGAAAGCGUGGGGAGCGAACAGG